ACGGGGUCUAAUACCGGAUAACACUCUGUCCCGCAUGGGACGGGGUUAAAAGCUCCGGCGGUGAAGGAUGAGCCCGCGGCCUAUCAGCUUGUUGGUGGGGUGAUGGCCUACCAAGGCGACGACGGGUAGCCGGCCUGAGAGGGCGACCGGCCACACUGGGACUGAGACACGGCCCAGACUCCUACGGGAGGCAGCAGUGGGGAAUAUUGCACAAUGGGCGAAAGCCUGAUGCAGCGACGCCGCGUGAGGGAUGACGGCCUUCGGGNUGUAAACCUCUUUCAGCAGGGAAGAAGCGAGAGUGACGGUACCUGCAGAAGAAGCGCCGGCUAACUACGUGCCAGCAGCCGCGGUAAUACGUAGGGCGCAAGCGUUGUCCGGAAUUAUUGGGCGUAAAGAGCUCGUAUGCGGCUUGUUGCGUCGGUUGUGAAAGCCCGGGGCUUAACCCCGGGUCUGCANUCGAUACNGGCAGGCUAGAGUGUGGUAGGGNANA
rnacentral:rRNA from 1 species